GAUGAACGCUAGCGGCAGGCCUAACACAUGCAAGUCGAGGGGCAGCACAGAAACAGCAAUGUUUUGGUGGCGACCGGCGGACGGGUGCGUAACGCGUAUGCAACCUACCUUUAACAGGGGGAUAACGGAGAGAAAUUUCCACUAAUACCCCAUAACAUCGAUCAAGGCAUCUUGAUUGGUUGAAAACUCCGGUGGUUAAAGAUGGGCAUGCGUUGUAUUAGGUAGUUGGUGAGGUAAUGGCUCACCAAGCCUACGAUACAUAGGGGACUGAGAGGUUAGCCCCCCACACUGGUACUGAGACACGGACCAGACUCCUACGGGAGGCAGCAGUGAGGAAUAUUGGUCAAUGGGGGCAACCCUGAACCAGCCAUGCCGCGUGCAGGAAGACGGCUCUAUGAGUUGUAAACUGCUUUUAAACAGGGAUAAAGCACAGUAUGUAUACUGUGUUGAAGGUACUGUAAGAAUAGGGAUCGGCUAACUCCGUGCCAGCAGCCGCCGUAA
rnacentral:rRNA from 1 species